rnacentral:rRNA from 1 species
CCUACGGGUGGCAGCAGUGGGGAAUAUUGCACAAUGGGGGAAACCCUGAUGCAGCGAUGCCGCGUGGAGGAAGAAGGUUUUCGGAUUGUAAACUCCUUUUAUCAGGGACGAUAAUGACGGUACCUGAAGAAAAAGCUCCGGCUAACUACGUGCCAGCAGCCGCGGUAAUACGUAGGGAGCGAGCGUUAUCCGGAUUUAUUGGGUUUAAAGGGAGCGUAGGCCGGCUUUUAAGUCAGCUGUGAAAGUCCGCGGCUCAACCGUGGAAUUGCAGUUGAAACUGGAGGCCUUGAGUGCACACAGGGAUGCCGGAAUUCAUGGUGUAGCGGUGAAAUGCUUAGAUAUCAUGAAGAACUCCGAUCGCGAAGGCAAGUGUCCGGGGUGCAACUGACGCUGAGGCUCGAAAGUGCGGGUAUCAAACAGGAUUAGAUACCCUAGUAGUC